rnacentral:rRNA from 1 species
GCUAUACUGCAGUCGAGCGAUCUGAGGGAGCUUGCUCCCAAGAUUAGCGGCGGACGGGUGAGUAACACGUGGGCAACCUGCCUGUAAGACUGGGAUAACUUCGGGAAACCGGAGCUAAUACCGGAUAAUCCCUUUCCUCACAUGAGGAAAGGCUGAAAGACGGUUUCGGCUGUCACUUACAGAUGGGCCCGCGGCGCAUUAGCUAGUUGGUGAGGUAACGGCUCACCAAGGCCACGAUGCGUAGCCGACCUGAGAGGGUGAUCGGCCACACUGGGACUGAGACACGGCCCAGACUCCUACGGGAGGCAGCAGUAGGGAAUCUUCCGCAAUGGACGAAAGUCUGACGGAGCAACGCCGCGUGAGUGAUGAAGGUUUUCGGAUCGUAAAACUCUGUUGUUAGGGAAGAACAAGUAUCGGAGUAACUGCCGGUACCUUGACGGUACCUAACCAGAAAGCCACGGCUAACUACGUGCCAGCAGCCGCGGUAAUACGUAGGUGGCAAGCGUUGUCCGGAAUUAUUGGGCGUAAAGCGCGCGCAGGUGGUUCCUUAAGUCUGAUGUGAAAGCCCACGGCUCAACCGUGGAGGGUCAUUGGAAACUGGGGAACUUGAGUGCAGAAGAGGAAAGUGGAAUUCCAAGUGUAGCGGUGAAAUGCGUAGAGAUUUGGAGGAACACCAGUGGCGAAGGCGACUUUCUGGUCUGUAACUGACACUGAGGCGCGAAAGCGUGGGGAGCGAACAGGAUUAGAUACCCUGGUAGUCCACGCCGUAAACGAUGAGUGCUAAGUGUUAGAGGGUUUCCGCCCUUUAGUGCUGCAGCAAACGCAUUAAGCACUCCGCCUGGGGAGUACGACCGCAAGGUUGAAACUCAAAGGAAUUGAC